rnacentral:rRNA from 1 species
UACAGAGGUCUCGAGCGUUAGGCGGAAUCACUGGGCUUAAAGCGUGUGUAGGCGGGUCGUUAAGUGCCUUGUGAAAUCCCAUGGCUCAACCAUGGAACUGCUGGGCAUACUGGCGAUCUUGUGCCACCUAGGGGCGAGCGGAACAGAUGGUGGAGCGGUGAAAUGCGUAGAUAUCAUCUGGAACGCCAAUGGUGAAAACAGCUCGCUGGGGGUGUGCUGACGCUGAGACACGAAAGCCAGGGGAGCGAACGGG